rnacentral:rRNA from 1 species
UGCCCCAGUAACGGCGAGAGCGGCAACAGCUCAAAUUUGAAAUCCGGCGCCCGCGCCCGAGUUGUAAUUUGCAGAGGACGCUUCUGGCGCGGCGCCUUCCGAGUUCCCUGGAACGGGACGCCGAAGAGGGUGAGAGCCCCGUCCGGUCGGACGCCAAGCCUGCGUGAAGCUCCUUCGACGAGUCGAGUAGUUUGGGAAUGCUGCUCUAAACGGGAGGUAUAUGUCUUCUACAGCUACAUACCGGCCAGAGACCGAUACCGCACAAGUAGAGUGAUCGAAAGAUGCAAAGCACUUUGCAAAGAGGGUUACACAGUACGUGAAAUUGUUGAAAGGGAAGCGCUCGCGACCAGACACGGCCCCGACGGAUCAGCCGGCUACGCGCCGGCGCACUCCGCUCCGGGCCAGCAUCGGUUAGCGGGGGACAAAGGCGCCGGGAACGUGGCUCCCCGGGAGUGUUAUAGCCCGGCGCGCAAUGCCCCGCGCGGACCGAGGUACGCGGCAAGGAUGCUGGCGUACUGGUCGCCAGCGACCCGUCUUGCAACACGGACCAAGGAGUCGUCCUCGCAUGCGAGUGUUCGGGUGUCAAACCCCUACGCGGAAUGCAAGUGCACGCAGGUGGGAGCCUCGGCGCACCACCGACCGAUCCUGAUGUCCUCGGAUGGAUUUGCGUACGAGCAUGCGGGGCCGGACCCGAAAGAAGGUGCACUAUGCCUGUGUACGGUGAAGCCAGAGGAAACUCUGGUGGAGGCUCGCAGCGGUUCUGCCGUGCAAAUCGAUCGUCAAACAUGGGCAUGGGGGCGAAAGACUA